rnacentral:rRNA from 1 species
GACGAACGCUGGCGGCGUGCUUAACACAUGCAAGUCGAACGGAAAGGCCCUGCUUUUGUGGGGUGCUCGAGUGGCGAACGGGUGAGUAACACGUGAGUAACCUGCCCUUGACUUUGGGAUAACUUCAGGAAACUGGGGCUAAUACCGGAUAGGAGCUCCUGCUGCAUGGUGGGGGUUGGAAAGUUUCGGCGGUUGGGGAUGGACUCGCGGCUUAUCAGCUUGUUGGUGGGGUAGUGGCUUACCAAGGCUUUGACGGGUAGCCGGCCUGAGAGGGUGACCGGCCACAUUGGGACUGAGAUACGGCCCAGACUCCUACGGGAGGCAGCAGUGGGGAAUAUUGCACAAUGGGCGGAAGCCUGAUGCAGCAACGCCGCGUGCGGGAUGACGGCCUUCGGGUUGUAAACCGCUUUCGCCUGUGACGAAGCGUGAGUGACGGUAAUGGGUAAAGAAGCACCGGCUAACUACGUGCCAGCAGCCGCGGUGAUACGUAGGGUGCGAGCGUUGUCCGGAUUUAUUGGGCGUAAAGGGCUCGUAGGUGGUUGAUCGCGUCGGAAGUGUAAUCUUGGGGCUUAACCCUGAGCGUGCUUUCGAUACGGGUUGACUUGAGGAAGGUAGGGGAGAAUGGAAUUCCUGGUGGAGCGGUGGAAUGCGCAGAUAUCAGGAGGAACACCAGUGGCGAAGGCGGUUCUCUGGGCCUUUCCUGACGCUGAGGAGCGAAAGCGUGGGGAGCGAACAGGCUUAGAUACCCUGGUAGUCCACGCUGUAAACGGUGGGUACUAGGUGUGGGGUCCAUUCCACGGGUUCCGUGCCGUAGCUAACGCUUUAAGUACCCCGCCUGGGGAGUACGGCCGCAAGGCUAAAACUCAAAGGAAUUGACGGGGCCCCGCACAAGCGGCGGAGCAUGCGGAUUAAUUCGAUGCAACGCGUAGAACCUUACCUGGGUUUGACAUGGGUCGGGAGUGCUCAGAGAUGGGUGUGCCUCUUUUGGGGUCGGUUCACAGGUGGUGCAUGGCUGUCGUCAGCUCGUGUCGUGAGAUGUUGGGUUAAGUCCCGCAACGAGCGCAACCCUUGUUCACUGUUGCCAGCACGUUAUGGUGGGGACUCAGUAGAGACCGCCGGGGUCAACUCGGAGGAAGGUGGGGAUGACGUCAAGUCAUCAUGCCCCUUAUGUCCAGGGCUUCACGCAUGCUACAAUGGCUGGUACAGAGAGUGGCGAGCCUGUGAGGGUGAGCGAAUCUCGGAAAGUCGGUCUCAGUUCGGAUUGGGGUCUGCAACUCGACCUCAUGAAGUCGGAGUCGCUAGUAAUCGCAGAUCAGCAACGCUGCGGUGAAUACGUUCCCGGGGCU